rnacentral:rRNA from 1 species
AUUGAACGCUGGCGGCAGGCCUAACACAUGCAAGUCGAACGAGUGGCGGACGGGUGAGUAAUGUCUGGGAAACUGCCUGAUGGAGGGGGAUCACUACUGGACACGGUAGCUAAUACCGCAUACCAUCGGAUGUGCCCAUAUGGGAUUAGCUAGUAGGUGGGGUAAAGGCUCACCUAGGCGACGAUCCCUAGCUGGUCGGAGAGGACGACCAGCAACACGGGGACUGAGACACGGCCCAGCAUCCUACGGGAGGCAGCAGUGGGGAAUUUUGGACAAGGGGGGAAACCCUGAUGCAGCGAUCCCGCGUGUAUGAUGAAGGCCUUCGGGUUGUAAAGUACUUUUGGCAGAGAAGCGGUAUCUGCAGAAUAAGCACCGGCUAACUACGUGCCAGCAGCCGCGGUAAUAC